UACGGGGGGGGUAAGCGUUGUUCGGAAUUACUGGGCGUAAAGCGCGUGUAGGCGGCUUUGUAAGUCGGGUGUGAAAGCCCUCAGCUUAACUGAGGAAGUGCGCCCGAAACUGCAUUGCUUGAGUACCAGAGAGGGUGGCGGAAUUCCCGAAGUAGAGGUGAAAUUCGUAGAUAUCGGGAGGAACACCGGUGGCGAAGGCGGCCACCUGGAUGGAUACUGACGCUGAGACGCGAAAGCGUGGGUAGCAAACAGG
rnacentral:rRNA from 1 species